GUGCCAGCCGCCGCGGUAAGACGGAGGAGGCGAGCGUUAUCCGGAUUUACUGGGCGUCAAGGGCGCGUAGGCGGCCUGACAGGUCGUGGGUGAAAGCCCCGGGCUCAACCCGGGGAGGUCCCGCGAUACCAUCAGGCUUGAGGAUCGUAGAGGGGGGCGGAAUGUCCGGUGGAGCGGUGGAAUGCGUAGAUAUCGGACGGAACACCCGAGGCGAAGGCGGCCCCCUGGGCGAUACCUGACGCUGAGGCGCGAAAGCGUGGGGAGCAAAGCGGAUUAGAAACCCUUGUAGUCC
rnacentral:rRNA from 1 species